AAAUGUGUUUAAGGUAGAGACCGAUAGCAACCACGUGAUCAGUAAAAAUCGUGUAUUUUCACGUGAAAUUAUUUUUCGGAAUUCCGUACAUCGCCAUAGAGUAGUUGAAAAACAAAAAGGGGUUCCGAAAGUACAAGUUGUUGCUGUGACUGAAUCGAUGAUUGAGAGGGUCGUCUCGACGAAAGAUAUAGAAAUUUGGCCAUAGUUUAGAUUAGGAAUACGUCAAUGUAAUAAUAGUGGACUAAAUGUUUCGUCCGUGCAGAAUGGCACUUUUUACCUCACGAAAUCCACCACCAUGCAUAGCUGCGCUACGUAAACAAAGUUGUUGAUGUAGCGUAAUCGUGAUGUCCGAGUGCUGCGAGUUUCAAUACUGUUUAUGUAGUCAUUGAGAGUUUAAACAAAGUUUCUUCUGAGAAGAGGAAUUCGAUGGAUGCAUUCAACGUGGACAACGAAAUCAUAAUUUCGUUUGCAUCAUCCUAAGGACCAGUGCAAGUUGAAAUGGGCUUCCAGCCAACAACUUCAACAGCAAUUUGCCAUGAAAAUCAGCAAGAAAGGUACUUCAUUUACAUUGAUGAUGUCAUAUCCCCUGGACCCCACAACUUUACAGUUUACAGAGAAAAUUCAAGAACUUCUGCAAAAUGUGGGACUUGGAUAGAAUCAAUAAUGUAUUUGUGAGCCCAGAGCAAUGGAUAUAUUGUGCAACAUACUAAAGUGUGAAUUUAAUGGAAAACAAGUACAUGUACUCAUGUAUUACAUGUCUUUUUUAAAGACAAUAAUAUUGUAUAAAUAUAGAGGAAGUGUCAUUGUUGAUUAUUCUAAGUUUUUGAUAUAUCAAAAUCAGUAAACAUUUCUAAAUGAAAAUAAAAUACCAAUUUUAUAACUUUAAUCAAUGUGUUUGAGAUGACCUUCAAAACGGAUGCCCAGUGUCACAGUAGAUGUGGCACGCUAAAGAACCCUCACUGCUCAAUGGCCGUAAGCGCCGAGCAAAGGCCUAAAUUUAAAGCCGUUCACCGGUCUUGGUAACGUCUCCAUAUGAGUAAAAAAUUCUCUCGAGAGACGUUAAACAAGAUACAAUCAAUCAAUCCAUGGGUCGAUUGGGUGGAAAUCUUUCCAUUGAUAUUAAAUAUAAAGUUGUUAUUUAAACAUAUUUGGUGCACUAUGCUGUAUAAUCAUAUCAAUUUCUUAUAAUAGGUAAUCGUGUCUGGUUAUUAUAAAAAAAUGUAUGAAAAAUAACUAAAUAUUAAUGCAAUCAUUGUGAGUGCAAAAAGGUCAAUCGCAAGAGCACAUACAUAAAUGCAUUGGCGGAUAUAAGGGGUGGGGUGGGGGGCAACCUGCGCGAGCCCCCCUAAAAUUUUCAAGUUUAAAGUAAAUCGUGGUCUCUUGUUUAGAGAAAUAUAUACGAUAAAAGCCAUAAUUUCCUCCACUCUCAGAGAAAUAAAUGUAUGACAAAAUCUUUUGAUUUAUUGAAUUACUUUUAGUGGGAGAACUGCUACUUUUUCCAAAAACCCUUAAAAUUUGCGUUAUUUUAUUAAUUUCACCUUAUUAAAAAUGACAGAAAAUAAUAAAAAUUACUACAUAGGAGACAUAUUUUAAGCCCUAAAAAAUCUGUAAAAUCCAGGAGUUUCUGGGGAAUCGCCCCACCCCCCCCCCCUUCAAGGCGGCCCCCAGACCCCUGCCUCAUACAGUUGCACCCCCCCCUCCCAACUUCAAUUCCUGAUCCGCCCCUGAAAUAGCUUAUAGAAACCUUCUUAUUGUCAUGUUCAAUUUUCAAAGAGGUAAUUUGGGAAUGCUUAAACAUUCUAAGUUAUAAAAAGGUCAGUAGUUUAUCUCUGCUGGCUGAAUCUUUCUUCUCAAUGCACCGAGUGCAAUUCAUGACGUCUAUGUUCCUGCUCAUUCUUUCUCCUCCAUACCAUGCAGUAUAUUAAAGGGGUUGGGAUGUAAUGGAGACAUUUGUUUUAACAAAUAUAAAUUGUAUUUCAAUUUUUUGUGGGGAUUUUUAUUUGGGAAAACUCUUGAUAUUAAUCAUCAAAUAUGAUGACGUAUGAUAAAUCUAUAUUCUGAGUGUAAGUGCACAAAGGUCAACAACGAGAACUACAACAAAAUAUAAGCUAAAAUUUGAAAUACAUACUUUCUGUAUUAUAUUUAUUAAUUUAAAAAAGGUAUUACAAAGAAUCUUCGAAUUUCAGCAAGCUGUUUUUGAUGGAUUGUUUACAACAUCUUUUAAUAACCCUUUUUCUUACAAAAAUGUGUAGUUUGUUAAAAGGGGGUGGGGUUAGGAAUUUUUUGCUACUUCCAUAUUGAACCCCAUUAUGGUGUAUAAUUUUUUUCAUAUAUUUUACUUACUAAUAGACUGACCACUUAAUGAAAUAAAAUAAGAAAUUUGAUGGGUAAUUUUUUUGCAGCGUAAGCAAAGGUAUGACCCUGUGUGCAAAUAUUGUGCACUGUUUUAAGGUAAUUGGCCAAUGUAGCUCUGUUGAAGUAAUGUUGUUGCAUGUUAAUAAUGAUUGCUGAACUUGAAAUUGAUGUGUAAUAUACAAUUAUGUGAAAGGUUGUUUGGAACCAUAUAUGACAAGUUAUUAUCCUUUUUACAAUAAAAAUGUUAUAGCUCUAUUUGUA